UCUGUCACAAGCCAAAAUCGAGAAGGGUAGAAACCCCACGGCACCCACCCUUUCCACCAUGGUGCCGCCGCCGGAGAGCUCCCCCAGCACGUCCAAGACCACCGGCGGGUGCGCCUCGCCGAGCUCUUCCUCCUGGCGCAGCGAAUCGACCAAGGGCCCCCUCAAUCGCCGCCGCCGUCCUCGUUUCUUCCCCAGCACCGAUGGCCUUUUUACUCAAUUCCGGUGACCUCGACCUUUCCCCGCCGCUGUUGAGCACGCCAACGCGUUCAGGGACCCCAUCUCUGGCGAUGCUCCGGUGACCUUUGACCGGCGGCGCCGCCCUCCCUAGGUCCGCUCCGACGAGGCGCAACCGAGGCACCCCUCCGCGCGUCCAGGGGGCCUUCACCUUGCCGGCGCGUUUCCUCGCCACCCCGCAGUCACCGCCUCCUCCUCGCCGCGCACGGCGUCGAACGCCUGGCGGGCAUGCGCAGAAGGUUUGCCACGCUGGCGUCCUACGUGGCACCCGACCCCACCCGUCAUCCUCUCCGGCUCAGAUCCCUCUCGCAUUUGCCUCUUCUCGGAUAGGAUCGCGAAGUGUUGAUGUGAGAUACGACGAGUUCUCCGACAAGUUCUUCUGCAGCUUAUCACAGGCGAGCCCUCUCUCUUCACCUAUUUUACUCUCUCCCUCGCACUGCUAUCCUUAUGUUGCGAUUCUUUAUCGAGUCACGUGUCCUAUUCCACUUGUUUACCAUAUAAUCCUAUAUGCACCAUUCCUUACCCAUAGCCGUUGCUUGAUGUUUGAGCCUUGCGAGUCGUAGGCGUGUUUAGGAUUUGUUGUUUAUCUCGAUCUGUUAUCGGGAUAUGUUGGGUUGUUGGGAGGUUAUCACAUGCUUUAUCAGUUGUUGGAGAUACACAUGCUUUACUUAUUUGUUAACAACUAAAACUGUAAGCAGAGGCAUCUGUGAGCCCCUUUGCGAAAGCAUCGGAACUUUGACUCGCUAAUGUCCCCUAGGACCCGAGUUCUUAUUAUCUGUUCCGAGAUUGAGCGCUCUACCCAUGCGUGGGGAUUCACUGGGACCCCCCUCACCCAUUACCUUUUCUCAAGUCAGUUGAAAAGGGGGCCACAACCUUGGUUUUAUUUGGUGCACGCAUAUUUAUUACUGUUGCUUCCUUGUGACAGUAAAGCACUCGUCCGUUGAGAACCCCAAGAGGAAGGUAUGAUGUCGUACAACAGCAAGUUUUCCCUCAGUAAGAAACCAAGGUUUAUCGAACCAGUAGGAGCCAAGAAGCACGUUGAAGGUUGUUGGUGAUGGAGUGUAGUGUGGCGCAACACCAGGGAUUCCGGCGCCAACGUGGAACCUGCACAACACAACCAAAGUACUUUGCCCCAACGAAACAGUGAGGUUGUCAAUCUCACCGGCUUGCUGUAACAAAGGAUUAGAUGUAUAGUGUGGAUGAUGAUUGUUUGCAGAAAACAGUAGAACAGUAUUGCAGUAGAUUGUAUUCGAUGUAAAAGAAUGGACCGGGGUCCACAGUUCACUAGAGGUGUCUCUCCCAUAAGAAAUAGCAUAUUGGGUAAACAAAUUACA